UUAUUUUUAAUAAUAUUUUUUAUUUCAAUAAUUUUACUUAUUUAUUUUUCUUUUUUUUUCUUCUCCCUUUUCUUCUGAGCCAUGUGGCUGACAGGGUCUUGGUUCUCUGACUGGGUGUCAGGCCUGAGCCUCUGAGGUGGGAGAGCCAAGUUCAGGACAUUGGACCACCAGAGAUUUCCCAGCCCCAUGUAAUAUCAAACAGCAAAAGCUCUCACAGAGAUCUCCAUCUCAAUGGACAUGAAAGAGAAAGAAAGACUGAAGACCUGUUCCAGAUGGAAGGCAACUAAAGAAACAUGACAAUUAAAUGCAGUUGUGACUCUGGAGAGGAUCCUGAACCAGAAGGGGGAAAAAAUGAAAGUGACCAGAAUGUGGAAAGACCCUGAAAUCAAAACAUGAGAGUAAAUUCUGAAUGAAACUGACAAUAUUUUGUCUGAAGAAGAGAGAAGUCAAGAAGAUUACCAUCAUUGCAAAUAAUGGAUAAGUCAUGACAUAAAAGUGCCAUUCUAGAGCAGCAAAACUAGCUUCAAUAAUGAAAUAGUCAGCAAUAGUGUUUUCAAGUUCAUGAACAGAAGAAGCUUCUAACAAUUAAAACUGGAUAUAAAUGGAACUCAAUGACUCACAAUGUAGUGAACUCCUCAUAGUUGGAAGUGUUAAGCA